GCUGAGAUGGCGGAACUGGUAUACGCGCUAGCUUCAGGAGCUAGUGGCCGCAAGGCCUUGGGGGUUCGAGUCCCCCUCUCAGCA
rnacentral:tRNA from 1 species